AGGAACAAGAAAGCUGUCACACUGCAGUGCUUGUUGUUGAAACACCUUCCAUUCUCAGAGUACUGGAGAGAAUCUCUUCCUUUAUAUCUGUUUUUCUGUCUCUCUUAAUCUUCAUCCCCUCCCCACUUUAUCUCUUUCCCACGUUUAUUCUCGUGCAAUCUGCAUGUGAAACAUGUCACAGACACCGUUCUGUACCCACUGAAUAUUGAAAAGCGACAUUGAUCUAUACCCUUUGAAUAUUGAAAAGCGACAUUGAUCUAUACCCUUUGAAUAUUGAAAAGCGACAUUGAUGUAUACCCUUUGAAUAUUG